GACUUGUCAUCAUUAUCCUAUUCAAAAACGUCGGACACUACUCGACUAUCAGACUCUACGGGAUGAUCGUGUCGACAAGCUACGUUUGGGGAUUGACCGACAUCCGACCCGACGUGCACGUCCGACCAAGGUCCAGGCAACGGAUGCUCGACCUACAAUCGGGACGACUCUCGACCAUCGAAUCCUAUGCAACCUGUACGACAGUCAGGAUGCCGGCCUAC
rnacentral:lncRNA from 1 species